GACUGCGGAGGAUCAUUAAGAGACGUUGCCCUUCGGGGUAUACCUCCCACCCUUUGUUUAUUAUACCUUUGUUGCUUUGGCAGACCCGGCUUCGGCCCACCGGCUCCGGCUGGUCAGUGUCUGCCAGAGGACCUAAAACUCUGUUUGUUAAUAUUGUCUGAGUACUAUAUAAUAGUUAAAACUUUCAACAACGGAUCUCUUGGUUCUGGCAUCGAUGAAGAACGCAGCGAAAUGCGAUAAGUAAUGUGAAUUGCAGAAUUCAGUGAAUCAUCGAAUCUUUGAACGCACAUUGCGCCCUCUGGUAUUCCGGGGGGCAUGCCUGUUCGAGCGUCAUUACAACCCUCAAGCUUUGCUUGGUAUUGGACAUUGCCAGUUUCUGGCAGGUCUUAAAAUCAGUGGCGGUGCCAUUUGGCUUCAAGCGUAGUAAUUCUUCUCGCUUUGGAGAUCCAAGUGGUUACUCGCCAAUAACCCCCAAUUUUUUCAGGUUGACCUCGGAUCAGGUAGGGAUACCCGCUGAACUUAAGCAUAUCAAUAAGCGGAGGA
rnacentral:rRNA from 1 species